rnacentral:rRNA from 1 species
AUGCCCCCAUCUGCCGCCGCCGCCUCUGCCGCCUCCCCGCCCCCCUGUUUCACCGCCUCUCCCGCCUCCCCGCCCAUCCUCCACCGCUCCACGCCCUCAUCCUCCGCCGCUGCUGGUGGCGAGUUAUGUGCCUCCAACCGUUGGCGACGAACCAGGCCUCCAUUCAUGGCAUGCCCUUACAUGAGCGACGAUGAUUAUUUUGGUUUUUUGCAAACCAUGCAAGAUUUUUGCAGCGGCAGGACCAUGACCCCUCGAGAUAUUUACAAAAAUGUGCCUAUUAGUUCUUCUGGAACUUUUGUGGAUAAUUAUGUCCCUACAGACCUAAAGGUACCUUUUCUCAACAAGGCCUUUCUAAGGGUUAAAGCAUAUGAUAAAUCACAACUUGGAUGGUAUCCAUAUGAAAGAAGCUCUACAUAG